UACGAAGGGGGCUAGCGUUGCUCGGAAUCACUGGGCGUAAAGCGCACGUAGGCGGCUUGUUAAGUCAGGGGUGAAAUCCUGGAGCUCAACUCCAGAACUGCCUUUGAUACUGAAGAUCUUGAGUUCGGGAGAGGUGAGUGGAACUGCGAGUGUAGAGGUGAAAUUCGUAGAUAUUCGCAAGAACACCAGUGACGAAGGCGGCUCACUGGCCCGAUACUGACGCUGAGGCACGAAAGCGUGGGGAGCAAACAGG
rnacentral:rRNA from 1 species